AUAAAGUAUAGAUGUGUUUUUUCGUGUUUAAUGUUUGGCCAUUUAUCUUAUUUGAAAUGUUUUCAUGAUUAGUUUUUUUAUUAGAUGAUAAAACAUGGAUAAUACUUUAUACGUGACUUAAUUUUUUUAAAAAAAAUCAUAAAUUUCAAAAUAAAACAGACGGUUAAAUGUUAGAUACGGAAAUCCACAAACUACACCUAAA
rfam:Oryza barthii chromosome 12, whole genome shotgun sequence.